rnacentral:rRNA from 1 species
CAGCCGCCGCGGUAAUACGUAGGUGGCAAGCGUUGUCCGGAAUUAUUGGGCGUAAAGGGCUCGCAGGCGGUUUCUUAAGUCUGAUGUGAAAGCCCCCGGCUCAACCGGGGAGGGUCAUUGGAAACUGGGAAACUUGAGUGCAGAGGAGGAGAGUGGAAUUCCACGUGUAGCGGUGAAAUGCGUAGAGAUGUGGAGGAACACCAGUGGCGAAGGCGACUCUCUGGUCUGUAACUGACGCUGAGGAGCGAAAGCGUGGGGAGCGAACAGGAUUAGAUACCCCAGUAGUCCCUGUCUCUUAUAC